GAGGCUCCGGUAGCAGCAGCGGCGUGGUCAGAGCGAGCUUCGGAGAAGCAGUGGUGGGUUCCAUGUGAUGGUGGAGUAGGAGGCAGGUCUCCGCGGUUCAUCUGCGUUGCUCUAAAUGACACUGUUUCAUUAUUUUGAUGGCUGAAGAAUAUUUCCUAGUGUAUGUAUAUGAGAGUUUCUUGAUCUCUUUAUCUGUGGAUGAACAGCUACUUUGAAACAUAUGAUACAUUUGUGUUAAGGCUAGUCACCCUGCUGUGGAAUAAAAGACCAGAAUGAUCAGUCUCAUCUGAGAGUAACUUUGUACCCAUCACUGGUUCCUUCUGAGACAGCCUCCACUUCCCCAGCAGCCUCUGGUUUCUUCAUGUGGCUUCAGGUUUCUUCAUGUGGCAGGAUUUCCCAAAGGUUUAUGGCUGAAACAUAUUCUGUGGUGUAUCUAUACAGCAGUUUCCUCAUCCCUGCAGCUGUGUUUGAACAGGUCAUUUACCAUGCUGUCGUCCAGCUUCAACAGUAUGGCUCCAAAUGAUGAAAUUUCAUUUUGAUUUUCUGGCUGAAGACUAUUCUGUUUGUAUACGUCCACCACAGUUACUUUAUCCCUUCAUCUGUGGAUGGGCAGUCUCGCUCUGUUGCCCAGGCUGGAGUGCAGUGGCACGAUCUCGGCUCACUGCAAGCUCCGCUUCCUGGGUUCACACCAUUCUCCUGCCUCAGCCUCCUGAGUAGCUGGGAUUACAGGCACCUGCCACCACGCCCAGGAAAGAAAAAAGAAGAAAACAAACCUCCAUAAGAGAGGGGGUCUAAAGGAACUUCCCAAACCUCCAUGAUUUUGCAGGAGACAAGAUAAAGGUGGUUUCCACAAGAAAAAUGGCACAAUGUUUCUCAGAAGACAAUUACAUAAAAGUCAGCAUACUUCAAAUUCACAGCAAAUAAUCAGACAAUUGAUGAAAAUACUUACCCAAACACUAAUUGUAGACUAUAACUUCUGAAUAUAUUUGUCAUAAACUUGGAGUAAGGAAUUCUCACAGGCACUGAACAAUUCAAAAAAUGUAAAGUUGUUUGUUAGAAUACUGGUGCUUUUGGGUAGAAACCCUCUUCCAUAUCAUGGUAAGGCUUGAAGUUGCACAGGUGUUUUCAUUUGUCAAAACCCAGAAAACCAUAAGCUUUAGAUUUGUGAAUUUUAUAUUGUAUUAUAUGUGACCUUUCUUUUUAAAAAAUGAGCUGUAAGCAGUCUCCCAGACAGUAGCUCAGCCUCCAGGACUCUUCCUGUAUGGCUGAAGACACCUCUUCACUCAAGAUGGUAGCAACAAAUCAUAGGUGCAAUUGCACCAAUUUCACAGAAGAUCAAUUGAAAAUCCUCAUCAAUACCUUCACUCAAAAACCUUUCCCAGGUUAUGCUACCAAACAAAAACUUGCUUUAGCAAUCAAUACAGAAGAAUCUAGAAUCCAGAUUUGGUUUCAGAAUUGAAGAGCUAGGCAUGGAUUCCAGAAAAGACCAGAACCUGACUUUAGAUUCAGGCCAGAGCCAUCGGCAAGAUUAACUUGGUGUGGAGUUUCAAAAUAGAGAAGCCAGACAGUGUCAUACCACCUAUAGCACCUUUCAAUUACACACUGUCAUCCAUGCAUUUAUGAAAAACCCAUACCCUGGGAUUGAUUCCAGAGGACAACUUGCUGAAGAAAUUGGUGCUCCAGAGUCAAGAGUCCAAAUUUGGUUCCAAAAUUGAAGAUCUAGAUUUCAUCUCCAGAGAAAAAGAGAACCUGUUGUGUCCUUAGAAUGAGAAGACCAGAGAAGACCAGGGGCAAGAUUUCUGAGGGACUUCAAGGUACAGAAGAUACACAAAAUGGCAUCAACCUCACUAGCACUCUCAUUUCUCAAGAGCCAGAACAUGGUGAAUACAGUCAAGUUCAGUGUAUUUGAUAUUAUCAAUUUGGGUCCCAAAUCUCUCUCACAGUCUUCCUGGGAGUCUAUUCUUCUUCUGAAAGUGCAAGCUAAGCCUUCUGAAGAUGGUAAAGAACUUGGCUGGGUGUGGUGGCUCACGCCUGUAAUCCCAGCACUUUAGGAGGCUGAGGCUGGAAGAUUGCUUGAGCCCAGGAGUUUGAAACCAGUCUGGGCAACAUAGUAAGACCCUGUCUCUAUUCUAAAAAACAAAAUAAAUAAAAAGGACUGUAGGAGGCCAAGACAGGUACAGGAGGCCCCACACUACCCUGUUGACACAGCCUGGAUCCAGAGCUCAGCAGACCUUGAGACAAUGAAGAUAACUUAGUAAUAAUCAUUUUUCAAUCAUUGCAGUAAUUAUUGAUUUGGACAAAAAUCAAUUGACGUUAAAACAAAGUGAUGCUUCUCUGCCUAUGGAGUAGCCAUUCUUUUAUUCCUUUAGUUUCAUAAUAAAUUUUCUUUUACUUAAAAAAA
rnacentral:lncRNA from 1 species